CCUGGCGGCCUUAGCGCGGUGGUCCCACCUGACCCCAUACCGAACUCAGAAGUGAAACGCCGUAGCGCCGAUGGUAGUGUGGGGUCUCCCCAUGCGAGAGUAGGGAACUGCCAGGC
rnacentral:rRNA from 1 species